rnacentral:sRNA from 1 species
AACCAACGAAAAAGAAAAAUUUCAAUUCAAGUUAAAAUUUUUUGCAAUUUAAUUUCUAAAGCAAAACAACUGAAGUCAUACAACGUAAUAUUCAGGCUGUGAGUUGCUUUUUAGUUGAAAAUGGUACCACGUCCACUUUUCGCUGUAUGUUUUUGUUAUAAUUGUCCCAGCAAAUAUUUUACUUUCCAAUUAAAUAUCCAAUUUUGAUUGAUUUUAAUCUAAGAUUGCCGGCCUUUUCUUUCUUUGUGGAGCAGCACCCUUCCCUUGACAAACCAAUGUUAAAAUCAUAAAAUUUCAGACAGGAUUGAAAACACCAUUUCUGUAAUAUAAACAAAAGAAAUGGUCAAGAUUUUGACCAUUCCCUUUUGAUUAGAUUUCACCAACGAAAAGAACACAUAGUACCCGUAUCCUUUGUAGCAGAAUACAAAAUGAAGUGUAGCUGGUUUAAAUGGAAAAUUUGUUAAAUUGUCCUACAUAUCCGUCAUUUAUCAUCAAUGGUUUCUUAAAUCUACAAUAAAGGCACAUGACGGUUUUUUUGUAAGAAAAAUAUA